AUUGAACGCUGGCGGCAUGCCUUACACAUGCAAGUCGAACGGCAGCGGACCUUCGGGUGCCGGCGAGUGGCGAACGGGUGAGUAAUAUAUCGGAACGUACCUUUCAGUGGGGGAUAACGUAGCGAAAGUUACGCUAAUACCGCAUAUUCUGUGAGCAGGAAAGCAGGGGAUCGCAAGACCUUGCGCUGAUUGAGCGGCCGAUAUCAGAUUAGGCUAGUUGGUGAGGUAAAGGCUCACCAAGGCGACGAUCUGUAGCGGGUCUGAGAGGAUGAUCCGCCACACUGGAACUGAGACACGGUCCAGACUCCUACGGAGGCAGCAGUGGGGAAUUUUGGGACAAUGGGCGCAAGCCUGAUCCAGCCAUGCCGCGUGAGUGAAGAAGGCCUCGGUG
rnacentral:rRNA from 1 species